UAGCUCAGUGGUUUGAGCAUUGGCCUUUCAAACCCAGGGUUGCGAGUUCAAUCCUUGC
rnacentral:tRNA from 1 species